rnacentral:rRNA from 1 species
CCUACGGGAGGCAGCAGUAGGGAAUCUUGCGCAAUGGGGGAAACCCUGACGCAGCAACACCGCGUGAAUGUUAAGCCCUUCGGGGUGUAAAGUUCUGUCAAUAGGGACGAAUUUUGACUGUACCUAUAAAGGAAGCACCGGCUAACUCCGUGCCAGCAGCCGCGGUAAUACGGGGGGUGCAGUCGUUGUCCGGAAUCAUUGGGCGUAAAGCGUUCGUAGGCGGUAUGGCAAGUCGGACGUUAAAGUCCGGGGCCCAAACCCCGUUCGGCAUUGGAUACUGGCAAACUAGAAUGUGGUAGGGGUAAAGGGAAUUCCUGGUGUAGCGGUGAAAUGCGUAGAUAUCAGGAGGAACAUCGGUGGCGAAGGCGCUUUACUGGACCAUUAUUGACGCUGAGGAACGAAAGCCAGGGGAGCAAAUGGGAUUAGAUACCCUUGUAGUC